rnacentral:rRNA from 1 species
CGUAGGGCGCAAGCGUUAUCCGGAAUUAUUGGGCGUAAAGAGCUCGUAGGCGGUUUGUCGCGUCUGCCGUGAAAGUCCGGGGCUCAACUCCGGAUCUGCGGUGGGUACGGGCAGACUAGAGUGAUGUAGGGGAGACUGGAAUUCCUGGUGUAGCAGUGAAAUGCGCAGAUAUCAGGAGGAACACCGAUGGCGAAGGCAGGUCUCUGGGCAUUAACUGACGCUGAGGAGCGAAAGCAUGGGGAGCGAACAGGAUUAGAUACCCUGGUAGUCCAUGCCGUAAACGUUGGGCACUAGGUGUGGGGGACAUUCCACGUUUUCCGCGCCGUAGCUAACGCAUUAAGUGCCCCGCCUGGGGAGUACGGCCGCAAGGCUA